AAUCUUUGAGGACGGAACAGGCAGCCGUCGCCCAGAGUUAGGAGAUGCAGGAUUGCCACCCUGCCAACGAUU
rnacentral:ncRNA from 12 species